UUAAGUUAUUAAGGGCGCACGGUGGAUGCCUUGGCACUAGAAGCCGAUGAAGGACGUUACUAACGACGAUAUGCUUUGGGGAGCUGUAAGUAAGCUUUGAUCCAGAGAUUUCCGAAUGGGGAAACCCAGCAUGAGUUAUGUCAUGUUAUCGAUAUGUGAAUACAUAGCAUAUCAGAAGGCACACCCGGAGAACUGAAACAUCUUAGUACCCGGAGGAAGAAAAAGAAAAUUCGAUUCCCUUAGUAGCGGCGAGCGAAACGGGAAGAGCCCAAACCAACAAGCUUGCUUGUUGGGGUUGUAGGACACUCUAUACGGAGUUACAAAGGACGACAUUAGACGAAUCAUCUGGAAAGAUGAAUCAAAGAAGGUAAUAAUCCUGUAGUCGAAAAUGUUGUCUCUCUUGAGUGGAUCCUGAGUACGACGGAACACGUGGAAUUCCGUCGGAAUCUGGGAGGACCAUCUCCUAAGGCUAAAUACUCUCUAGUGACCGAUAGUGAACCAGUACCGUGAGGGAAAGGUGAAAAGCACCCCGGAAGGGGAGUGAAAUAGAACCUGAAACCGUGUGCUUACAAGUAGUCAGAGCCCGUUAAUGGGUGAUGGCGUGCCUUUUGUAGAAUGAACCGGCGAGUUACGAUUUGAUGCAAGGUUAAGCAGUAAAUGUGGAGCCGUAGCGAAAGCGAGUCUGAAUAGGGCGUUUAGUAUUUGGUCGUAGACCCGAAACCAGGUGAUCUACCCUUGGUCAGGUUGAAGUUCAGGUAACACUGAAUGGAGGACCGAACCGACUUACGUUGAAAAGUGAGCGGAUGAACUGAGGGUAGCGGAGAAAUUCCAAUCGAACCUGGAGAUAGCUGGUUCUCUCCGAAAUAGCUUUAGGGCUAGCCUCAAGUGAUGAUUAUUGGAGGUAGAGCACUGUUUGGACGAGGGGCCCCUCUCGGGUUACCGAAUUCAGACAAACUCCGAAUGCCAAUUAAUUUAACUUGGGAGUCAGAACAUGGGUGAUAAGGUCCGUGUUCGAAAGGGAAACAGCCCAGACCACCAGCUAAGGUCCCAAAAUAUAUGUUAAGUGGAAAAGGAUGUGGCGUUGCCCAGACAACUAGGAUGUUGGCUUAGAAGCAGCCAUCAUUUAAAGAGUGCGUAAUAGCUCACUAGUCGAGUGACACUGCGCCGAAAAUGUACCGGGGCUAAACAUAUUACCGAAGCUGUGGAUUGUCCUUUGGACAAUGGUAGGAGAGCGUUCUAAGGGCGUUGAAGCAUGAUCGUAAGGACAUGUGGAGCGCUUAGAAGUGAGAAUGCCGGUGUGAGUAGCGAAAGACGGGUGAGAAUCCCGUCCACCGAUUGACUAAGGUUUCCAGAGGAAGGCUCGUCCGCUCUGGGUUAGUCGGGUCCUAAGCUGAGGCCGACAGGCGUAGGCGAUGGAUAACAGGUUGAUAUUCCUGUACCACCUAUAAUCGUUUUAAUCGAUGGGGGGACGCAGUAGGAUAGGCGAAGCGUGCGAUUGGAUUGCACGUCUAAGCAGUAAGGCUGAGUAUUAGGCAAAUCCGGUACUCGUUAAGGCUGAGCUGUGAUGGGGAGAAGACAUUGAGUCUUCGAGUCGUUGAUUUCACACUGCCGAGAAAAGCCUCUAGAUAGAAAAUAGGUGCCCGUACCGCAAACCGACACAGGUAGUCAAGAUGAGAAUUCUAAGGUGAGCGAGCGAACUCUCGUUAAGGAACUCGGCAAAAUGACCCCGUAACUUCGGGAGAAGGGGUGCUCUUUAGGGUUAACGCCCAGAAGAGCCGCAGUGAAUAGGCCCAAGCGACUGUUUAUCAAAAACACAGGUCUCUGCUAAACCGUAAGGUGAUGUAUAGGGGCUGACGCCUGCCCGGUGCUGGAAGGUUAAGAGGAGUGGUUAGCUUCUGCGAAGCUACGAAUCGAAGCCCCAGUAAACGGCGGCCGUAACUAUAACGGUCCUAAGGUAGCGAAAUUCCUUGUCGGGUAAGUUCCGACCCGCACGAAAGGCGUAACGAUUUGGGCACUGUCUCAACGAGAGACUCGGUGAAAUCAUAGUACCUGUGAAGAUGCAGGUUACCCGCGACAGGACGGAAAGACCCCGUGGAGCUUUACUGUAGCCUGAUAUUGAAAUUCGGCACAGCUUGUACAGGAUAGGUAGGAGCCUUUGAAACGUGAGCGCUAGCUUACGUGGAGGCGCUGGUGGGAUACUACCCUAGCUGUGUUGGCUUUCUAACCCGCACCACUUAUCGUGGUGGGAGACAGUGUCAGGCGGGCAGUUUGACUGGGGCGGUCGCCUCCUAAAAGGUAACGGAGGCGCUCAAAGGUUCCCUCAGAAUGGUUGGAAAUCAUUCAUAGAGUGUAAAGGCAUAAGGGAGCUUGACUGCGAGACCUACAAGUCGAGCAGGGUCGAAAGACGGACUUAGUGAUCCGGUGGUUCCGCAUGGAAGGGCCAUCGCUCAACGGAUAAAAGCUACCCCGGGGAUAACAGGCUUAUCUCCCCCAAGAGUUCACAUCGACGGGGAGGUUUGGCACCUCGAUGUCGGCUCAUCGCAUCCUGGGGCUGUAGUCGGUCCCAAGGGUUGGGCUGUUCGCCCAUUAAAGCGGUACGCGAGCUGGGUUCAGAACGUCGUGAGACAGUUCGGUCCCUAUCCGUCGUGGGCGUAGGAAAUUUGAGAGGAGCUGUCCUUAGUACGAGAGGACCGGGAUGGACAUACCUCUGGUGUACCAGUUGUCGUGCCAACGGCAUAGCUGGGUAGCUAUGUGUGGACGGGAUAAGUGCUGAAAGCAUCUAAGCAUGAAGCCCCCCUCAAGAUGAGAUUUCCCAACUUCGGUUAUAAGAUCCCUCAAAGAUGAUGAGGUUAAUAGGUUCGAGGUGGAAGCAUGGUGACAUGUGGAGCUGACGAAUACUAAUCGAUCGAAGACUUAAUCAA
rnacentral:rRNA from 1 species